rnacentral:snRNA from 1 species
AUGCUUAGCUGGCAGGGGAGUGAUUUUCUCAGGGCAAUUCUUAUCCAUUACACUCUGGAUGUGCUGACCCCUGUGAUUUCCCCAAAUGUGGGGAAACUUUACAUAAUUUGUGGUAGUGGGGGACUGCAUUAGUGCUCUCCCCUC